CAAAAAACUACAAAGAUUUAAUAAAUUAUUUUGGCAAAGUAGCAGGUUACAAAAUUAAUAUUCAGGAAUCAGUAGUAUAAUAAUGAACUAUCUAUCACAAAGAGAAACUUGUGAUAACAAUUUGAUUUACAAUUGCAACCAAAAAAAAUGAAUAAAUAAGGUACCUAGGAAUAAAUUUAACCAAGGAGGUUACUUGGAAAACUACAGGACACUGAAGAAAGAAACUAAGGAAGAUUUAAGUAAGUGUUCAUGAUUUGGAAGAAUUAACAUCAUUAAAAUGUCCAAACUACCCAAAGUAAUCUACAGAUUAAAUUCAAUUCCUAUUAAAAUACCAAUGGCAUGUUUAACAGAUCUAGACCAAAUAUUCCAAAAUUGAUACAGACUCAAAGAAGACUCCCUAUAGCUGCAGCAAUCCUGAGACUACCAAGAAGCUAACUGCACUGAAACAGUCACCAAUGUUUCUUCAGGAUAGGUGUCAUGUGUAAUCUAUGACUCCUUGGUGAAUGCCUUUAGAUAACAGACGUAACAAUAAGACCAAUAACUUCUGUGCUUUUAGGGAAAAAAGCACAUAAUCAAUGUUCUGAAAUAUCUUUCACACCUGGAUUGUGAUAUGAGCAUACUGGUGACUUCUCUCUCUCUCUCUCUCUCUCUCUCUCUCUCUCUCUCUCUCUCUCUCUCUCUCUCUCUCCCCCUAUCUAUCAUCUAUCUAUCUAUCUAAUCUAUCAUCUAUCUAUCUCUCUAUUUAUCUAUCUAAAUUAUCUAUCAUCUAUCUAAAUUAUCUAUCUAUCAUCUCUCUCUCUCUCUCUCUCUCUCUCUCUCUCUCUCUAAUCCUCACCCAAAGAUAUGACUUUCAUUGUUUCUAGAGGAAGAGGCAAGAAGGGAGAGAGAAACAUCAAUCAGUUGCCUCAUGCACAUGCCCCAGCUGGGGGUGGAACCUGCAACCUGACUGGGAAUCGAACCCGAGACCCUUUGAUGCCCAGGGAUAUGCUCCAACUGAGACACCUGGCGAGAGCACACUGCUGAUUAAUCUAUUGGUGACAAAGUCCCAGAUACUACAACAAACACUGGCUCAGUGCCUAUAAUUUGGAGCAGAGGGAGAGGCUACAUCUCAUGAGACAAAGAAACUGCAGCCCAGUAAUAUCAUCUAUUACCCAAGACUGCAGAGUGCGGAGGAGGCCUGGGAGUCCAUCCUAGGCAUUGUGGUCCUGGAGCCUGCACCCCUAAAUCACUAAGUGACCCCCCUGGCCAUAUGGAGAGUCUCAACUAAUACAUUCAGGACACAAAAUGAGUGGGAAAUACACUGAGACAUUCAAGCAUCUGACUACAAACCAGCACAGACAGAACACCCCGCAUGCUUAGGGCCGAGGACGCCCACAUCAGCAAGUCAGAGACAGACACCACCUUCAGCUCUCAUGGGGGACGCACCGGAACUAUUAACAAAGUCGAGAAGAAAUUGCAGAGGAACUCCAAGAGGAAGGGUUCUGACGGCCGCAUCUUUCCAUCGAUAUUGAUCGUCUUGGGGACUUCUGGGAUGAGGCUGAUGGCGGCUUUGAAAAAGGCAUCAGCUGCAACACAAGAAAGUCCAUCAGGGAAACUAAAAAAACACAGGCUCUGCUUUCUUCUCCACAGGCCUGAGGCCCGUCCUGAGAAUCCCAGGGAGUUGUCUGAGCAGCUGGGAUGGCAGGCAGGCCCGAGAAAGGUUCCCGAGAACUGACUGAGGGUGGGCAUUCCCAGUGGAGGUGCUGCUGCUGCCUCCCAUCCUCCCUUCUUCUUUUACCAUCAGUCAGAGAACCUUAGCCAAACUGGCUUUAGAUUAUUAAGUGAAAAAAGAAGUGGCACAUGUUCACAGAAAGCCUAGAAUUCACGGUUGCCUGGGCCAAGGGUUCAACCUGGAUUGUCCCUUUGAACCCGCCCACUGACCACGGGAGAGUGUGGUUCUCGGGCCACUUCAUUUGGGAACAAGGUGCAGGAGGGUGUGUGCACGGAGGCUCCGUCCUGUCUGUACCUAUUCAAGUGCACACCCACUUUGUUAGAGAAAUAACAAUCUAAUGUCUGAAGGAAUGCACGCACACAUGCACACACACAUGCACUGCACACACGUGCACACAUGCAUACGCACGCACACACACUCCACACAUGCACACACAAACAUGUACUCCACACACACGCACUCCACACAUGCACACAUACACAAAACAUGCACACACAGAUACGCACUCCACACACAUGCACACACGUGCAUACAUAUCCACACACGUGCACACACGUACUACACACACACACGAACACACACAUAAGCGCACAUGCGCUUUCGAGACUACUGACUAGGUAAUAGUUCCACAGAAUCAUCUAAGAAAUGAAGAUAUGGAAAGAAGCAAGGGGGAAGAAAGAGAAAGAAGAGGUAGGAAGCAGAGCAGAUAGGAAAAGGGAGCACAAGGGAUAGAGACAGGGAGAGACUGGAGGAUGGAAGUGAGGGUUAGAAGAUGGAGUGUUCUUUAUAGAAAAAGUGCCAAGGUCAAAACACUGACCCAACAAGUGAAAUUCUAAACUGCCUGACAAGACCAAAUGUAUUUGGUCCAAAUACACCUCCAGUUGGAAACACCUCCCAGCCACAUCCAGAGAACAAGGUGCUGGUGGAAAACACCCUCAAUUAAACCAGAGCCCCA